CGCGUAGGCGGUCUCUUAAGUCAGGUGUGAAAGCCCGAGGCUCAACUUCGGAAGUGCACUUGAAACUAAGGGACUUGAGUAUGGGAGAGGGAAGUGGAAUUCCUGGUGUAGCGGUGAAAUGCGUAGAUAUCAGGAGGAACACCGGUGGCGAAGGCGACUUCCUGGACCAAUACUGACGCUGAGGCGCGAAGGCGUGGGGAGCAAACA
rnacentral:rRNA from 1 species